rnacentral:rRNA from 1 species
UUUAACUGAAGAGUUUGAUCAUGGCUCAGAUUGAACGCUGGCGGCAGGCUUAACACAUGCAAGUCGAGCGGGGGAAGGUAGCUUGCUACCGGACCUAGCGGCGGACGGGUGAGUAAUGCUUAGGAAUCUGCCUAUUAGUGGGGGACAACAUCUCGAAAGGGAUGCUAAUACCGCAUACGUCCUACGGGAGAAAGCAGGGGAUCUUCGGACCUUGCGCUAAUAGAUGAGCCUAAGUCGGAUUAGCUAGUUGGUGGGGUAAAGGCCUACCAAGGCGACGAUCUGUAGCGGGUCUGAGAGGAUGAUCCGCC